UACGGAGGGUGCUAGCGUUGUUCGGAAUCACUGGGCGUAAAGCGCGUGUAGGCGGCCCAUCAAGUCUGAUGUGAAAGCCCGGGGCUCACCCCCCGGAAGUGCAUUGGAAACUGUUGGGCUGGAGUCCCGGAGAGGAGGGUGGAAUUCCUGGUGUAGCGGUGAAAUGCGUAGAUAUCAGGAGGAACACCGGUGGCGAAGGCGGCCCUCUGGACGGUGACUGACGCUGAGACGCGAAAAGCGUGGGGGAGCAAACAGGG
rnacentral:rRNA from 1 species